rnacentral:rRNA from 1 species
CUAUGUGCGGACGGGAUAAGUGCUGAAAGCAUCUAAGCAUGAAGCCCCCCUCAAGAUGAGAUUUCCCAUAGCGCAAGCUAGUAAGAACCCUGAAAGAUGAUCAGGUUGAUAGGUCAGAGGUGGAAGCAUGGCGACAUGUGGAGCUGACUGAUACUAAUCGUUCGAGGACUUAUCCUA